AACUAACUACAUGUCAUCUUAGAACAGGCUGCUUCAUAGUUUAUAGUGGAACAGUUUCCAUAUUCUAGAAAAUUAGAAAAGCUUUUGAUAAAAGAGAACUAGAAAAUUUGUCAGUAGGCUAUAUUAAAAGACAUCCUUCUUGGACUCUUACUGCAAUAAUUGCUUUGGCUUUUGAAUAUACUGCAUUCAGAAGCUAAAUCUUCCCUGUGCCAUUGUUAUAGAACGACCAAAUGUGAAAUGGAGUGACGUUGCUGGACUUGAAGGAGCCAAAGAAGCACUGAAAGAGGCUGUGAUACUGCCUAUUAAAUUUCCUCAUCUUUUUACAGGCAAGAGAACACCUUGGAGGGGAAUCCUAUUAUUUGGGCCGCCUGGAACAGGAAAGUCCUACUUAGCCAAAGCUGUAGCAACAGAAGCCAACAACUCAACAUUUUUUUCAAUAUCUUCCUCUGAUCUUGUUUCUAAGUGGCUAGGUGAAAGUGAAAAACUGGUUAAGAAUUUAUUCCAACUUGCCAGAGAGAACAAGCCCUCCAUUAUCUUCAUUGAUGAAAUUGAUUCUCUCUGUGGUUCAAGAAGUGAAAAUGAAAGUGAAGCCGCACGUAGAAUUAAGACGGAGUUCCUAGUGCAAAUGCAAGGGGUUGGUGUAGACAAUGAUGGAAUUUUGGUUCUGGGAGCUACAAAUAUACCCUGGGUUCUGGAUUCUG
rnacentral:lncRNA from 1 species